GGGGAGAACUAAAGUGUGUGCCUGUAGACAGAACAUGGUCCUAACUCCUCUGCUUUUCAUUCUUUGUAUUAUAGUGUUGUUAACUGAUGUUAGCUCUGUUCAUCAAUAAACUUCUGCUUUAAAGUUUACUCUCUCUCUCUCCUUUCUUGGUGAUGAAUUGCUGACACCUUAUCAUAUAAUUUGACUGUAGGAAAUCUUUGAUUUGGCUGUCUAAAUAUCAGAUGUGGGCGCAAUGCUUGGCUAAGCAUCAGUGCAAUGCAUGUGAUUUUAAUUGGGAUUUCCACUUGGUGGUAAUUUUCUCCUCAGUGCCACCAAAGAGAGUCAGGAUCAAGAGCUGUCAGAAGCAAGUGGGGAUGGAAGACUGUAAGUUCGAUUUUUGUCUGUUAAAUAUGACCCCACUUGGAAGAACAUAGUUUCUGCUUCAGAUAUUUAGGAACGAAAACAGCAACUUCACUGCAAUUCUUCCAAAAGUCUUUGGAAAUAUGUACUGUCAACGUGCUGUUUUCGUAACAUUUUUCAGUGACUGGUAAUGAUUAGCUGGUGAUCUUUCUUGGAAAGGGGUGUUGUGGAUGCGAUUUCCACCGCUUACCACCUA